rnacentral:rRNA from 1 species
UACGUAGGGGGCUAGCGUUGUUCGGAAUUACUGGGCGUAAAGGGCGCGUAGGCGGUGUGUCAAGUCAGGCGUGAAAGCCCCGGGCUCAACCUGGGAACCGCGCUUGAGACUGGCACGCUCGAGUUCGGGAGAGGAUGGUGGAAUUCCCAGUGUAGAGGUGAAAUUCGUAGAUAUUGGGAAGAACACCGAUGGCGAAGGCAGCCAUCUGGACCGACACUGACGCUGAGGCGCGAAAGCGUGGGGAGCAAACAGG